GACGAACGCUGGCGGCGUGCUUAACACAUGCAAGUCGAACGGAAAGGCCUUGCUUUUGUGGGGUGCUCGAGUGGCGAACGGGUGAGUAACACGUGAGUAACCUGCCCUUGACUUUGGGAUAACUUCAGGAAACUGGGGCUAAUACCGGAUAGGAGCUCCUGCUGCAUGGUGGGGGUUGGAAAGUUUCGGCGGUUGGGGAUGGACUCGCGGCUUAUCAGCUUGUUGGUGGGGUAGUGGCUUACCAAGGCUUUGACGGGUAGCCGGCCUGAGAGGGUGACCGGCCACAAUGGGACUGAGAUACGGCCCAGACUCCUACGGGAGGCAGCAGUGGGGAGUAUUGCACAAUGGGCGGAAGCCUGAUGCAGCAACGCCGCGUGCGGGAUGACGGCCUUCGGGUUGUAAACCGCUUUCGCCUGUGACGAAGCGUGAGUGACGGUAAUGGGUAAAGAAGCACCGGCUAACUACGUG
rnacentral:rRNA from 1 species